UAUUAAAAAUUUCAUCUAUUUGUACUAUUAAAAACAACGUGGCCGAUGAAAUAACCAGACAGUGACACAUGGCGUACACGCGUGUACCUCAUGUUGAUGUAUAGGGAUCAACUUUUAAUAGUAGAAAUGGAUGAAUCUUUUAAUA
rfam:Gossypium raimondii Chr08_contig_1300, whole genome shotgun sequence.